CCGACGCUCCUGAACGCAGCUUCAUUGUCAGACUGCACCUGAAUGCACCAAUGACGUUAUUUUGAUCUUUUGAUUUGAAGACGCUUUGAAGAGGUUUCCUGAUGCUGGAAGAAGACGAGCAGCUUUGUACCUUUGAGUCCGAUUUUGAGUGAUGUUGGUAACAGAGGAAGGAUUCACACACGCUGAUCGUCACAUAACUCCGCCGUGUUCUUUGGUUCAUUUCGUCUUGAGGUGACCCUGAGUAAAGACCAAUGCAAGGAGGCCAUAUCCUUCAUGAAGUAUUCCACUGAUGAGACUUCUAUCAAGCAGAAAGUGAAGAUAACAUUUCAGUUUCAGAAUGAGUAAGACUUUGUCCUGCUGUUUGGAGAAGAUGAAACUGCCGAGUUUUUGGAGAGCUUUUCGUGUUUGGACUUCUCUAGUGUUGGAUCGUGGGAGGCCUACUACAUUCAAGGAAAAGAUCAUCCAGCGGAGCGAUUUUGAGUGAUGAUUUUUAUUUAUUCUUUUCACCUGACCUUAGAUGAUACCACGGGAAUGAUUUGUUUUAUUUGUGACUACCAGCAUGCUUGUGAAGCAUAUACGAUUGAUUCAUGGUUUCUGUGCUGGUAAAUCACUUUACCUAAAAUGUUCUCAGGCAGGAGGUUGCUAUGUUUUUGUUUUAGUAAACAUUUUCCAGACAUGGAUAUAAUGUUGUUUGUAUUUUCUUCCAAAGUUCUACUUGUUUUAAGUGCGUUGGGUAAGAAUAACAGUAACAGAAUGAAGAAUUUUUACCACUCACAGGAAUCAGUUAAAAAUCAACACUGUAUUUGGAGUAGUUUCAUAAUCGACACUGAGUGCUAAGCAGGCUUAACACUCUUUGAGGAGUUAAUUCCCAAUAACACCAAAAACCCCUUGGUGUUAAGGGUAAACAACACUAAGAGUUAUUUGUGUCAUAGUGUAAAACAUGAUUCACACUACUCAGUGUAGUGUGAAUCAAGUUUUACACUGAAUACAAUAUUAGCUCUUGUCAGAGUUAAAUUAACUCUGACAAUUCAACACUAUCUUCAGUGUACCUUUGACACUUUGUGGGUUGGGACACUAACUUAGUGUUGAAAUGAACUCUUUGAAUGUUGUAUGUGCACUGGUGAUUUGAAGUAGUUGAGAGUUUUGGUUGUAGUGAUAAUACAUUUCCACAAUAACCUCAACAUUUACUCUUUUAAAUAAAGCCAUGUGAGUUCAAUUACACAUGUGAGAUUACAUUUUUUAUCGGGAUAAUACAGCUAUUUGUGGAGUAUAAACCUGUUUUGUUCUCUUUUUUGGUGAUUAAUUGUACAGCCCAAAGCGAGAGGAGAAAGCAGACGAUUAGAAAUCCUCCUGUCAGCCAUUUCCCGUCCUGCUGUCCUCUGUUUGGUUGUUUCUGUGGGGCAGUCGUGACUGCAGCAAACAGAGCUGCUCUGCAGUGCAGUGCAGCGUUAUUAGACACACACAGUGUCGUCCCCAUGAGCUUAACUCUGACAGGGACACCAGGACGGAGGCACUGCUGCCAAACAUGCACCUUUAUCAGUCCUGGCCUCCCAUGUUGACUUUCAAAAUAUUUUCAGUCCGGUUAUAAUGUGAUUGGAUAAAGUGAGUAAACAAAAUUGUGUUUAAUAUCAUCAACAGCUUGUGUUGGACUGGAGGCAUAUUUCGUUUCUCGUAUUGCAUGUGUCUAAUUUCUGAGACAUUGAAGCUGAAAUCUUCCCUCAAAGUAAUUUUUCAGUCUUUUUUUGCUUUUCCAAAAUGACAUGGAAAGGAAUAAAACAAACACAAAAAAAAUGCUUGUUGGUUGGAUUUUCAACUCUGAUGGUCCAUCAGAAAAAAUAACCAAAUGUAAGCCUAGAAUUGUGAUAUUUUAACAAAAUUGCUUUAUUCUACUUGGCCUGUUUAGGAAAAUCAGCAAUAAAUAACUCAUUUGCACCUGUAAAAUCCUGUAAAAUAAACAAAACAAAAAUACGCAAAAAUCUCUGCUCCCUGGUGCAAAUAAGAAGCCAUGACUGACUCAGCUGUAACAAACAAUCGUGACAAAACCUGAAAGAGUUUUCGGCUAAACUGCAGGCAGUGUUUACACAGAGCAGAGAUGUUCAGGGAGAAAGCUCUAGAUCAAUAAUGUCAAUGUAAAGUGCAUCAAAAACCGCACAGGAAAGCGCUGUUGGACGAUUAAUUCAACAUUUCAAUGUGAUGAAAUAUCGUUCUAGAGUUUAUGUGCAAAGUAGUCAAAAUCUGCUUGCUUUUAGACAGUGCAGAACUGCAAAUAUCUAUUAAACAUCUAAAGCAUGCUGAUUCUUUUGCUCAGACUCUUUUGACUCAUCACUAUUAAAGGUCAUAUAAAAUGCAGCUUUAUUCAAAAUGUCACAGAUGGCAUAAAAAGAUAAGAACAGGCUGUUGGCGUUUUUGCUAGCUGCUCUUGAAUGUCCGUAACGGCACCAUUUGUUGAGAAAAGAAAAAGAAAUUGUGGCACGACAGGUGAUGGGCAACAAAAUGAAUGUAAUGUUACACAAUCCAGUCCUCCAAAAAGGCUCCAAACUCUGCUAAGCCCUUCAGGAAAAGUGGAACUACAUUCCACAACCCACUGUCAACAGCCUCACAGAGAUUCAACUUGUAUGUUAGCUUUUUUUUUUCUUCUAUUAUUCAUGACAUCAUUGCUGUGUCAAACUGAACAAAAGGCUUUUUUUUUUUUAAUUCUCUGUCCUCCUAGCUGUGGUUGUGCUGUUUCCAUAGAGGUGCUGGACUUUAUAUUGUGGUAAAAAUGAGGCCACAGUGAGUGAAAAUGUGACAGGAGCAAAAAACUUUUGGGGUUCAGAAGGUUAAGCACCACACUCUGAGAAAUAUGGCUCUUAAUGCUCUCAGAAAUGACACUUGUUGACCUUGAUUCUUCUUCUUUGGCCACAGAUGCUGCUGAUUUGGGAAACUCAAGAGGAUUAAAGAUGAUCUGCUUGGCCAGAGAGAUCCCGCGUAUUGCUCGACUUGUUGGAUAAGCCUCUUAACUGUCCUCCUGAGACGUGUUGAUCCAGGCAGCCACAUACAUCGCACCUGCUGCGACUGAAAUGAUUCGGCCUGCAUUUCUGCGUGUAUUAAGAAAAGGUUACAACAGACAGCUGCUUUGCUGAUUCCAAGCUGGCUCAUCUCUGAGCUAAACAGUGAGGUGGUGAAGGCAGGCGUUUCGGUUUAGCGAGGAUCAUCUGGAGCAGCAAUCUUUUCCAAAGUUGGCUCCAUUCCCCAGAUCUCCUUGGCAUACUGGGAAAUGGUGCGGUCACUGGAGAAUUUACCACAGCCAGCGAUGCUAUGGAUCACCAUCUUGGUGCACUCCUUAGGGUUCUUGUAACCCCUUCCACUGUGUGAUGCCAAUUCAUCACACAGUGGAAGAGCAAUGGAGAUUAUUGUUUCUCUCACCAAUUCAGAUGUCACUUCUUUUGAUUUCACUUUUAUUUUUUUAUUUUUAUAUGAAUUUAUGAUUUCAGAUCAUUAUUACACAUUGAGAGGUUAUUGUUUUUGUGUAUGUGCAUAUAUGUAUAUUUUUAUGUAUGCAGGCUAUGUACUGUACAUAGACUGUAUAUAUAGUGGACGUAGCAUCUGGCUCCAGAAUUGAAGCCCACCCGGAAGUGUCAAAAACUUGCAAUAUCACGCCAUCCGCUAGGGUUGGCUCCAAAAAGCUUUUGCUCCAUAGACCCCAAUUCAUUUUUGGAAAAAAUAAAAUUUGAUAGACUGAUGUUCUACAGCUCAGGAUUUUUUUCCUGUUAGUUUUCAUGGUCAAAAUGAGAGAUCAGGUGGCCGAUCUUAAAAUAAAUCAAUACUGAAUUUUAAAUAAAUCGUUAAAGUUGGCGGAGCCAGGGGGCGUGGCUACACUUGAUAGACAGCAACAGAAGCCUCUGUGGUAAAAUGUGGGUGGGAUAAGAGAGUCCUCAGCCAAUCCUGCCCCUAGUUGCUCUACCGGUCCAGUCUGUUUGAUGACACUUUUUACGUCACUGGCUCCAAAAAAUCCAAAACGGCGACCAGGAAGUAGCAAAAUCCGGGCUUCAUUUUCUCGGCGUUGAAACCAACGGGUGACGUCACGGUUAGUUUACACCUGGUACUGUAUGUGUCUCCUAGGUUUUUAGAGACUCAUGUGACAGUUCUGGUGUGAGUGUGAGGGAGAUAUUUGUGUUUUUUGCAUUAUUUAUAUGAAAAGAGGACUUUCUGUCACAGUUUGACAAUAGGAAACUAAGCACAGCUCACUCUUUGCUGUGUUGUUACCUUAUGAAUUUUUCUUUUUUUUUUUAGCUGGUUAGCAAUGAUUCUUUUACUGUAUCCCUCUUCGUAAAGCACCGAGAUGGGAUCAUUUAGUUUGGCAGCUUAUGCACAGAAAUAAUGGGGUCUCUAUGUUUUUGAUCAUUUUGUGUGACUGUUUGAUUUGUUACUGUUGCAAUACAUCACAUUUUUAAAGACAAUUUA